rnacentral:antisense_RNA from 1 species
CCUUAAAAAAAAAACCUUCUGACACUGCAGUAGUGAAAAUGAAGUGCACGAUGGGCGGAAGCUAGGAAGACACUUAAAGAUGAAGUGCUUAAUUCAAGGUCACAGAAUGUCGGGGAUGGACCUCCAGAUUUCCUUACUGGUGAGACGUGGUCUUGUAACACAGUGGUUAAGAAUGUGACUUUGGAGCCAGCCUGCUAGGGGCUGAAUUCUGACUCAGCCAUUUAUUAACUGUGUGACCUUAGGGAGGAGGACCUGGUUGAUAGAAGAAUUUAUCUCAUAGUCUUAACAUCCACUGUAAUUCCGAACUUUGAGGACGAUAGAGAUCAGUGGGCUUUGACUGCCCAGCAUGCAGUCUCCAUUCUUAGGUAGGUUCCCAAGCCUGUAAAAUGUAAGUCUUAUGUUGCUGAGGGCCAUCUUGCCACCCCGAGGGGAACGCUGCCUGAGAAUGAAACCAGCAUAAGUAAAAGCUGAGCUGUGAGAUGGAGUGAGAUGAAGGCCACAUGACAUCUUUGGAGCACCUGGAUCUAACUGUGCCUUAAGCUAG